UUUUCAGCUUUAGAUUGAGAUCAGUUUUUGUCACAAAAUCUUAAAUUCUAUGAUGAGUCAUAUGCAUCUAAUGCAUGGUGGCCCAGUUUAUGACCACAUGAAAGGACAAUUUGUUGUUUAAUGUCAGCUUUGAGUUUAGCAUAUAUCCCAGACAUCUUACUUAUUUUGGGAGAUGUUUCUCUCAGCCGGUAAUGAAGCAAU
ensembl:misc_RNA